GUGUUCACUGUGUUAGCCUUGGUGUGUGGCGAACAAUUAAGGCACGCGGUGAAUGCCA
rnacentral:pre_miRNA from 1 species